AGAGUUGAUUAUGGCUCAGGACGAACGCUGGCGGCGUGCUUAACACAUGCAAGUCGAACGGGAGUAUUGAAGAAGCUUGCUUAGAGAUACUUUAGUGGCGGACGGGUGAGUAACGCGUGAGGAGCUGUCCUAUGCAGGGGGACAACAGCUGGAAACGGCUGCUAAUACCCCAUAAGCCGAGAGGUAAAAGGAUCAAUCCGGCAGAGGAGGUACUCGCGUCCUAUCAGCUAGUAGGUGAGGUAACGGCUCACCUAGGCGAAGACGGGUAGCCGGCCUGAGAGGGCGAACGGCCACACUGGAACUGAGAUACGGUCCAGACUCCUACGGGAGGCAGCAGUGGGGAAUAUUGAGCAAUGGGGGGAAACCCUGACCCAGCGACGCCGCGUGGGUGAAGAAAUCCUUCGGGAUGUAAAGCCCUGUUGUAUGGGAAGAGCGGAAGACGGUACCAUACGAGGAAGCCCCGGCAAACUACGUGCCAGCCGCCGC
rnacentral:rRNA from 1 species